rnacentral:rRNA from 1 species
UACGAAGGGGGCUAGCGUUGUUCGGAUUUACUGGGCGUAAAGCGCACGUAGGCGGAUCGAUCAGUCAGGGGUGAAAUCCAAGGGCUCAACCCUGGAACUGCCUUUGAUACUGUCGAUCUGGAGUAUGGAAGAGGUGAGUGGAAUUCCGAGUGUAGAGGUGAAAUUCGUAGAUAUUCGGAGGAACACCAGUGGCGAAGGCGGCUCACUGGUCCAUUACUGACGCUGAGGUGCGAAAGCGUGGGGAGCAAACAGG